CAUAAGACAGAGGAAAUAACACGAGAAACCGGUCUUCGGAUUGGGAGUAAAGUGGUUUACCCGGUUAGUAACACAUAAAUAACGUGCCCUGUAGUUCGGCAUAACUCGGCGAAAGCCGUGCUAAUUCCGGAUACGCUGCCCGGACGCCUGUCCGGGUAUGAAAGGCGGGGAUCCUUCGGGACCUGUCGCUAUGGGAGCGGUCUAUGUCCUAUCAGCUAGUUGGCGGGGUAACGGCCCACCAAGGCUUACGGGUACGGGGCCUGAGAGGGUGUUCCCGAACACUGGGACUGAGACACUGCCCAGACUCCUACGGGAGGCAGCAGUGGG
rnacentral:sRNA from 1 species